UUGACCUCAAAUCAGGUAGGAUUACCCGCUGAACUUAAGCAUAUCUA
rnacentral:rRNA from 1 species